CAGGCGGGUGCAUUAAUAUAACCAUCAACAAUGUGUUCGAAAUUGGCGAUUGCCUCGGAGGGAAUGCUGACUUCUGUACGGAUCCAUCGAUUCCUGUCACUAAAUUCCUCACGAAGCUGGUGGGAUGCACUAUUAAGGGUGUAGCGCAAAAUGGAUCUCCAGAAGAAAUUGCAAAAUCAAUCUCUGGACUAGUGGCAAUACUUCUGAAUAGCCUUGGUUUGGACUUCCUACUGAAGGAUGUCCAUUCCAGCGG
rnacentral:lncRNA from 1 species